UCUCCGUUGGUGAACCAGCGGAGGGAUCAUUACUGGAAUCGCAAGAUCCCACAACCCCCGUGAACCUACCGAAACGUUGCCUCGGCGGGCGCCCGGCCCCGCGCCGGGCGUCGAGCCCGCCGGUGGCCCACUACUCUGUCUCUGCAGCGUGGCAUCUCCGAGUACAAGAAAAACAAGUCAAAACUUUCAACAACGGAUCUCUUGGCUCUA
rnacentral:misc_RNA from 1 species